CUCUCCCGACUUUGCCUCCCGCGCCUCCGGGCGCGGGCAAGGAGACCCUCUUUCCAUUUUUUUCUGCCUCAGUCUGAAACACAAAAAAACAAAAAGUUAAAACUUUCAACAACGGAUCUCUUGGUUCUCGCAUCGAUGAAGAACGCAGCGAAAUGCGAUAAGUAGUGUGAAUUGCAGAAUUCAGUGAAUCAUCGAAUCUUUGAACGCACAUUGCGCCCUCUGGCAUUCCGGAGGGCAUGCCCGUUCGAGCGUCAUAAAAACCCCCUCAAGCGAUUUCCGCUUGGUCAUGGGCACGGGGCCCGGCGCCGACACGCACGCCUUCCGGCGUACGGUCGGCAAACCAUCCGGAGCCCCCGCCCGAAUUCGAUAGGCGGAACGAUGCACCACCCCGCCCGGUGGAAGUGAUAGACCACAUCUACGACCACGGGCCGUGGGCAUGUUAGCGUUCCCGCCUCACCAAACCCCCACAAGCAUUCUUUCAGGAAGCAUGACCUCGGACGGGUAGGGAUACCCGCUGAACUUAAGCAUAUCAAUA
rnacentral:rRNA from 1 species